AACGAACGCUGGCGGCAUGCCUAACACAUGCAAGUCGAACGAGACCUUCGGGUCUAGUGGCGCACGCGUGCGUAACGCGUGGGAACCUGCCCUUAGGUUCGGAAUAACUCCCCGAAAGGGGUGCUAAUACCGGAUAAUGUCUUCGGACCAAAGAUUUAUCGCCUUUGGAUGGGCCCGCGUUGGAUUAGCUAGUUGGUAGGGUAAAAGCCUACCAAGGCGACGAUCCAUAGCUGGUCUGAGAGGAUGAUCAGCCACACUGGGACUGAGACACGGCCCAGACUCCUACGGGAGGCAGCAGUGGGGAAUAUUGGACAAUGGGCGAAAGCCUGAUCCAGCAAUGCCGCGUGAGUGAUGAAGGCCUUAGGGUUGUAAAGCUCUUUUACCCGGGAUGAUAAUGACAGUACCGGGAGAAUAAGCUCCGGCUAACUCCGUG
rnacentral:rRNA from 1 species